rnacentral:tRNA from 1 species
GGAGAGGUGGCUGAGCGGUCUAAAGCAGCUUCCUGCUAAGAAGUUGAGGGAGAAAUCCCUCCGUGGGUUCGAAUCCCACCCUCUCCG